rnacentral:tRNA from 1 species
GGUGAGGUGGCUGAGUGGUAAAGCGUUUGGAAUCUGAACCCAGAGGUCCUGGGUUCGAAUCUCAUUAAAACCU